GGGCCAUGAAGAAGGAACAUUACCUUGGUCAGACUUCCUACGUAUCUGCUCAGAAAUACAAACUCUUCAGCUUGCUCAAGGUGGCAGUACAAUGACCCAUCAAAUCAGGAAGCGGCGUAAAGACACCCACCUGAUGUAGGGGAAAGUUUUCUGUGGGUCAUGAUGUAGCAGCACUAAGACAGAUCAUAUGAAAACCAUGUUUCUGCACAUGACUGGCAGUAAUGAGUUCAGCAAGGGGUGGAUUUAUAUGUGAACAGCAGCUCUGCUACUGAGAGUGGAUUUGGCCCAUGGUGACAUGGCUUGAAAGGCAUAUUAUGAAUCUGCAU